GAAGAAUUUUGAAAGAGAAUUCAACUACAAAGACCAUCAAGGUUUCAACAAAACCCCACACCUCCAUUCGGAACAUUAAUCGAAGUUAGAGCCCAUCAAAACAUCAACAAAGACUGAUCCGUAGCUAGUUGGGACCGAGAUUAAGGAGACCACUUGUAUUCACCCUUUAGUAGGUAUAUGGCAUUCGGUAGCUAUGCCCUCACCCAAGUCACUCCGUUGGUCGUCAAGAAUUUUGCAUGUGGAUUUACACUCGAUGUAAAUCGCUAAGAUUUAGGCUACAAACAAUAGAUGUAUAUGUGAUAUGAUGAUGCCAUUAUGAGAUGGCAAUGAAUGACAGUAUUUUGGAUUAGUACAAAUAUAAAUAUUUGGUUGUCUUGUUUAUUAUCGAAAUACGUAUAGUUGAGAAUAAAAAUUUUGUGCUUAGAAAUGAUGGCGGGAAUGAUGAAAUAGAAUUUCAUAAAUAGGCUUGCUUGGGCUUAGUGGGCUAUGCCCAUUGGGCCCUUAUGCUGGUCAUGGCCCGAAAUUUGGGCUGUGACAUUCUUCUUCCUUCAUUUGUUUUUUUUUUCUUUAAUUUCAAUUUUCUUCCAAAGAAUACGGAAGUUUAUUGUGCUAUUAUCUUUAUAAGGCUGUCAACCUCAUUCAGCAAUAAGCAUUCGACAAUUAAGUA